rnacentral:rRNA from 1 species
GAAGGGACCUAGCGUAGUUCGGAAUUACUGGGCUUAAAGAGUUCGUAGGUGGUUAAAAAAGUUGGUUGUGAAAUCC